rnacentral:rRNA from 1 species
GACCUGGCUGGGUGGUCUUGCCGCAAGGCAGAGCACUGCUCUGGUCGGGUCUUUCCUUCUGGGGAACCCGGGUGCUCUUCAGUGAGUGCCCGGGGGAUCCAGGACUUUUACUUUGAAAAAAUUAGAGUGUUUAAAGCAGGCUAACGUCUGAAUACAUUAGCAUGGAAUAAUGAAAUAGGA